AGAGUUUGAUCAUGGCUCAGGAUGAACGCUAGCGGCAGGCUUAAUACAUGCAAGUCGAACGGUAAGGUCUCUUCGGAGAUACACGAGUGGCGCACGGGUGCGUAACGCGUAUNNAACCUACCUUUAACUGGGAAAUAGCCCCGAGAAAUCGGGAUUAAUGUCCCAUACUAUUCUGAGAAUGCAUAUUCUUAGAAUGAAAGCUCCGGCGGUUAUUGAUGGGCAUGCGUGACAUUAGCUAGUUGGUGAGGUAACGGCCCACCAAGGCUACGAUGUCUAGGGGUCCUGAGAGGGUUAACCCCCACACUGGUACUGAGACACGGACCAGACUCCUACGGGAGGCAGCAGUAAGGAAUAUUGGGCAAUGGACGCAAGUCUGACCCAGCCAUGCCGCGUGAAGGAUGAAUGUCCUAUGGAUUGUAAACUUCUUUUAUGCAGGAAAAACAUCCCGGUCGUGAACCGGGACUGAUGGUACUGUAUGAAUAAGCAUCGGCUAACUCCGUGCCAGCAGCCGCGGUAAUACGGAGGAUGCAAGCGUUAUCCGGAUUCAUUGGGUUUAAAGGGUGCGCAGGCGGAAUAAUAAGUCAGUGGUGAAAUCUCCCGGCUCAACCGGGAAACUGCCAUUGAUACUGUUAUUCUUGAGUACAGUUGAAGUGGGCGGAAUGUGUCAUGUAGCGGUGAAAUGCUUAGAUAUGACACAGAACACUGAUAGCGAAGGCAGCUCACUAAGCUGUAACUGACGCUCAUGCACGAAAGCGUGGGGAUCAAACAGGAUUAGAUACCCUAGUAGUCC
rnacentral:rRNA from 1 species